rnacentral:RNase_P_RNA from 2 species
UUUGGCAGACAAGGCAAUCGCGCGCAAGGCUCAUACCCUUUUGCGAGGAAAGUCCGGACUCCUAUCGAACAUGAUGCCUGCGAAGAACCGAUUAGAUCAGUCUAAUCAAACCAACUCAGGGCGAUUCUUAAAACCAAUUGACGGAACAGUGCCACAGAAAAUGACCGCCUGACAUAGUAAAAUAUGCCGGGUAAGGGUGAAAAUGUGUGGUAAAAGCACACGAAUGGGCUCAGCAAUGGGUCUGUUGGGCAAACCCCUUCAGGAGCAAGACAAAAUAAGCAAGCAGGGCGUUCGAUCCCUUACUUGCGGGUAUGUCGCAGAGAUAAAUGGUUGCCACUGCAAAGCAAUUUGCAGCUACAGAAUCCGGCUUAUGCUCUGCCAAAUUUU